CUACGGGUGGCUCCAGUGAGGAAUUUUGCGCAAUGGGGGGAACCCUGACGCAGCAACGCCGCGUGAGUGAAGAAGGCCUUUGGGUCGUAAAGCUCUGUCAACUGGGAAGAAAUUAGAGUUGUUUAACAGAUGAUUCUAUUGACGGUACCAGUGGAGGAAGCGCCGGCUAACUCCGUGCCAGCAGCCGCGGUAACACGGGGGGCGCAAGCGUUAUUCGGAAUUAUUGGGCGUAAAGGGCGCGCAGGCGGUCUUGUCGGUCAGGUGUGAAAGCCCGGGGCUCAACCCUGGAAGUGCACUUGAAACAGAAAGACUUGAGUACGGGAGAGGAAAGCGGAAUUCCUGGUGUAGAGUAGAAAUUCGUAGAUAUCAGGAGGAACACCGAUGGCGAAGGCAGCUUUCUGGACCGAUACUGACGCUGAGGCGCGAAGGCGUGGGUAGCGAACGGGAUUAGAUACCCCCGUAGUC
rnacentral:rRNA from 1 species